rnacentral:rRNA from 1 species
AACGAGCGCAACCCUUCGCCUUAGUUUGCCAGCAGUUGGCUGGGCACUCUAAAGGGACGUGCCGGUGUUAAACCGGAACGGAAGGUGGGGAGUGACGUCAAGUCCUCAUGGCCUUUAUGACCAGGGCUACACACGUACUACAAUGGCCGAUACAAAGGGCAGCGACACUGCGAGGUGAAGCCAAUCCCGUAAAAUCGGUCUCAGUCCGGAUUGGAGUCUGCAGCUCGACUCCAUGAAGUUGGAAUCGCUAGUAAUCGUGGAUCAGCAUGCCACGGUGAAUACGUUCCCGGGCCUU